rnacentral:rRNA from 1 species
GAUGAACGCUAGCGGCAGGCUUAAUACAUGCAAGUCGAGGGACAGCACAGGUAGCAAUACUGGGUGGUAACCGGCCAACGGGUGCGGAACACGUACACAACCUUCCUUUAAGUGGGGGAUAGCCCAGAGAAAUUUGGAUUAACACCCCGUAAUAUAGUUGAAGGGCAUCAUUUGAUUAUCAUAGCUACGGCGCUUAAUGAUGGGUGUGCGGCUGAUUAGAUAGUUGGCGGGGUAACGGCCACCAAGUCUACGAUCAGUAGCUGAUGUGUUAGCAUGAUCAGCCACACGGGCACUGAGACACGGGCCCGACUCCUACGGGAGGCAGCAGUAAGGAGUAUUGGUCAAUGGACGCAAGUCUGAACCAGCCAUGCCGCGUGAAGGAUUAAGGUCCUCUGGAUUGUAAACUUCUUUUAUUUGGGACGAAAAAGGGCCUUUCUAGGUCAACUGACGGUACCAGAUGAAUAAGCACCGGCUAACUCAGUGCCAGCCGCCGCGGUAAAAC